UACGUAGGGGGCAAGCGUUGUCCGGAUUUAUUGGGCGUAAAGCGCGUGUAGGCGGCCACGCAGGUCCGCUGUGAAAACUCGAGGCUCAACCUCGAGCUGUCGGUGGAAACCGCGUGGCUAGAGUCCGGAAGAGGGGACUGGAGUUCCCGGUGUAGCGGUGGAAUGCGCAGAUAUCGGGAGGAACACCCGUGGCGAAGGCGGGUCCCUGGGACGGUACUGACGCUGAGACGCGAAAGCGUGGGGAGCGAACAGG
rnacentral:rRNA from 1 species